AUUGAACGCUGGCGGCAGGCCUAACACAUGCAAGUCGAACGAGUGGCGGACGGGUGAGUAAUGUAUGGGAAACUGCCUGAUGGAGGGGGAUAACUAAUGGAAACGGUAGCUAAUACCGCAUACCAUCGGAUGUGCCCAGAUGGGAUUAGCUAGUAGGUGGGGGAAAGGCUAACCUCGGCGACGAGCCAUAGAUGGUCUGAGAGGAUGACCAUGCACACUGGACCUGAUACACGGUCCAGAUGCCUACGGGAGGCAUCAGUGGUGAGUAUUGAACAAGGGGCGCAAGCCUGAUGCAGCCAUGCCGCGUGUAUGAAGAAGGCCUUCGGGUUGUAAAGUACUUUCAGCGGGGAGGCGUUACCCGCAGAAGAAGCACCGGCUAACUCCGUGCCAGCAGCCGCGGUAAUAC
rnacentral:rRNA from 1 species